rnacentral:rRNA from 2 species
GGGGAUUAGUGGCGAACGGGUGAGUAACACGUGGGCAAUCUGCCCUGCACUCUGGGACAAGCCCUGGAAACGGGGUCUAAUACCGGAUACUCACUGCCUUGGGCAUCCUUGGUGGUGGAAAGCUCCGGCGGUGCAGGAUGAGCCCGCGGCCUAUCAGCUAGUUGGUGAGGUAAUGGCUCACCAAGGCGACGACGGGUAGCCGGCCUGAGAGGGCGACCGGCCACACUGGGACUGAGACACGGCCCAGACUCCUACGGGAGGCAGCAGUGGGGAAUAUUGCACAAUGGGCGAAAGCCUGAUGCAGCGACGCCGCGUGAGGGAUGACGGCCUUCGGGUUGUAAACCUCUUUCAGCAGGGAAGAAGCGAAAGUGACGGUACCUGCAGAAGAAGCGCCGGCUAACUACGUGCCAGCAGCCGCGGUAAUACGUAGGGCGCAAGCGUUGUCCGGAAUUAUUGGGCGUAAAGAGCUCGUAGGCGGCUUGUCACGUCGGUUGUGAAAGCCCGGGGCUUAACCCCGGGUCUGCAGUCGAUACGGGCAGGCUAGAGUUCGGUAGGGGAGAUCGGAAUUCCUGGUGUAGCGGUGAAAUGCGCAGAUAUCAGGAGGAACACCGGUGGCGAAGGCGGAUCUCUGGGCCGAUACUGACGCUGAGGAGCGAAAGCGUGGGGGAGCG